rnacentral:rRNA from 1 species
AUACGUAGGUGGCAAGCGUUGUCCGGAGUUACUGGGCGUAAAGAGUACGUAGGCGGGCACUUAAGUCAGAUGUGAAAUUCCCGGGCUUAACCUGGGGUCUGCAUUUGAUACUGGGUGCCUAGAGUGCAGGAGGGGAAAGCGGAAUUCCUAGUGUAGUGGUGAAAUACGUAGAGAUUAGGAAGAACACCAGUAGCGAAGGCGGCUUUCUGGACUGUAACUGACGCUGAGGUACGAAAGCGUGGGGAGCAAACAGGAUUAGAUACCCUGGUAGUCCACGCUGUAAACGAUGAAUACUAGGUGUCGGAGGUGUCAAGCUUUCGGUGCCGCAGUUAACGCAUUAAGUAUUCCGCCUGGGGAGUACGGUCGCAAGAUUAAA